rnacentral:rRNA from 1 species
GAUGAACGCUGGCGGCGUGCUUAAUACAUGCAAGUCGAGCGAAUGGAUUAAGAGCUUGCUCUUAUGAAGUUAGCGGCGGACGGGUGAGUAACACGUGGGUAACCUGCCCAUAAGACUGGGAUAACUCCGGGAAACCGGGGCUAAUACCGGAUAACAUUUUGAACCGCAUGGUUCGAAAUUGAAAGGCGGCUUCGGCUGUCACUUAUGGAUGGACCCGCGUCGCAUUAGCUAGUUGGUGAGGCAACGGCUCACCAAGGCAACGAUGCGUAGCCGACCUGAGAGGGUGAUCGGCCACACUGGGACUGAGACACGGCCCAGACUCCUACGGGAGGCAGCAGUAGGGAAUCUCCCGCAAUGGACGAAAGUCUGACGGAGCAACGCCGCGUGAGUGAUGAAGGCUUUCGGGACGUAAAACUCUGUUGUUAGGGAAGAACAAGUGCUAGUUGAAUAAGCUGGCACCUUGACGGUGCCUAACCAGAAAGCCACGGCUAACUACGUGCCAGCAGCCGCCGUAA